GAGUGAUGCACGAGAAAGAUAUUUUCUUAGUCAAGGGUUUAACAGGGGGAAAUUAUGCCUAAACAUGAGCGCAGCGCAUGUGAACAUCCGACGUGCUUUGAGUCGGGAGAAGAAUUGAGCUGACGCAGACGUGUUGCAAAACAAGGGAUUACACGUGC